rnacentral:rRNA from 1 species
AGAGUUUGAUCAUGGCUCAGAUUGAACGCUGGCGGCAGGCCUAACACAUGCAAGUCGAGCGGUAGAGAGAAGCUUGCUUCUCUUGAGAGCGGCGGACGGGUGAGUAAUGCCUAGGAAUCUGCCUGGUAGUGGGGGAUAACGCUCGGAAACGGACGCUAAUACCGCAUACGUCCUACGGGAGAAAGCAGGGGACCUUCGGGCCUUGCGCUAUCAGAUGAGCCUAGGUCGGAUUAGCUAGUUGGUGAGGUAAUGGCUCACCAAGGCGACGAUCCGUAACUGGUCUGAGAGGAUGAUCAGUCACACUGGAACUGAGACACGGUCCAGACUCCUACGGGAGGCAGCAGUGGGGAAUAUUGGACAAUGGGCGAAAGCCUGAUCCAGCCAUGCCGCGUGUGUGAAGAAGGUCUUCGGAUUGUAAAGCACUUUAAGUUGGGAGGAAGGGCAGUUACCUAAUACGUAUCUGUUUUGACGUUACCGACAGAAUAAGCACCGGCUAACUCUGUGCCAGCAGCCGCGGUAAUACAGAGGGUGCAAGCGUUAAUCGGAAUUACUGGGCGUAAAGCGCGCGUAGGUGGUUUGUUAAGUUGGAUGUGAAAUCCCCGGGCUCAACCUGGGAACUGCAUUCAAAACUGACAAGCUAGAGUAUGGUAGAGGGUGGUGGAAUUUCCUGUAGCGGUGAAAUGCGUAGAUAUAGGAAGGAACACCAGUGGCGAAGGCGACCACCUGGACUGAUACUGACACUGAGGUGCGAAAGCGUGGGGAGCAAACAGGAUUAGAUACCCUAGUAGUCC